rnacentral:rRNA from 1 species
UACAGAGGUCUCAAGCGUUGUUCGGAUUCAUUGGGCGUAAAGGGUGCGUAGGCGGCGCGGUAAGUCGGGUGUGAAAUCUCGGGGCUUAACUCCGAAACUGCAUUCGAUACUGCCGUGCUUGAGGACUGGAGAGGAGACUGGAAUUUACGGUGUAGCGGUGAAAUGCGUAGAUAUCGUAAGGAAGACCAGUGGUGAAGGCGGGUCUCUGGACAGUUCCUGACGCUGAGGCACGAAGGUCAGGGGGAGCAAAACGGAGAUUAGACUACCC